UUAAUUGAAGAGUUUGAUCAUGGCUCAGAUUGAACGCUGGCGGCAGGCCUAACACAUGCAAGUCGAGCGGUAACAGGAAUUAGCUUGCUAAUUCGCUGACGAGCGGCGGACGGGUG
rnacentral:rRNA from 1 species